rnacentral:antisense_RNA from 1 species
GGGGCGUCUGGGCAGCCUACGCUUUCCGGAUAAAAAUGGCAGAAUGAAAGAAUUAUGAGUGGGACUAGAGAAUAGGAAAGACACGAACCAACGCCCAAAAUGAGAAAGAAGGACAUAUAAAGAAAAAGACAAAUACAAGUGAAAAAAAUAGACUAAUGGAUUAACAUCCCUGUUGUGUGACAUUUUCUUACUGGAAUCAGCCAUUUUACCAAGAAAGUUGGGUUUCUUUUACUGGCAAAUAGUACUUCAAGAGCACAGUCUUAUGUGAGAAGUACAGUCUAUAUAAAGACUGUCCAGGACAAAAACUGGCCACUCCAUUCAGCAUUGACAGCAGUAUUUAAAGCUGGUGCAUGGUAAGGUGAAGUUUCUCAAGGGCAAAGACAAUGCCUUCAUGCAUGUUCAUUGUCUGCUCCCGUGGGCUUUGAAAUGAGCGCUGACAAUGGGGAAUCUGCAGUGACUUCUCUGCCUCUGCCAAAGCCCAGGGGUGCUGCUCCCUAAUUCUAAGGAUUCUAAUGAGACUCAGAGCAGGUGUAACACAGGGCAUGGAGCUUCCUGAGCAAGAGGCUGGCUAACAAACUGUGGACGUGGUACUUAGAUGCAUUAAGAGACAUUAUGGGGACACAAGCAAGUAUGUCUCCCUGGGGAGAAGCCAAGUGCAGAUGCUAUGGCCACAGAUGAUAUCGUUUGGCUCUGUGUCCCCACUCAAAUCUCAUCUCAAGUUGUAAUCUCUGGAUGUCGAGGCAGGGACCUGGUGGGAGGUGAUUGGAUUGGUUCACAUGAUAGUGAGGGAGUUCUCACGAGAUCUGG